GAUGAACGCUGGCGGCGUGCCUAAUACAUGCAAGUCGAGCGAACGGACGAGAAGCUUGCUUCUCUGAUGUUAGCGGCGGACGGGUGAGUAACACGUGGAUAACCUACCUAUAAGACUGGGAUAACUUUGGGAAGCCGUAGCUAAUACCGGAUAAUAUUUUGAACCGCAUGGUUCAAAAGUGAAAGACGGUCUUGCUGUCACUUAUAGAUGGAUCCGCGCUGCAUUAGCUAGUUGGUAAGGUAACGGCUUACCAAGGCAACGAUGCAUAGCCGACCUGAGAGGGUGAUCGGCCACACUGGAACUGAGACACGGUCCAGACUCCUACGGGAGGCAGCAGUAGGGAAUCUUCCGCAAUGGGCGAAAGCCUGACGGAGCAACGCCGCGUGAGUGAUGAAGGUCUUCGGAUCGUAAAACUCUGUUAUUAGGGAAGAACAUAUGUGUAAGUAACUGUGCACAUCUUGACGGUACCUAGUCAGAAAGCCACGGCUAACUACGUG
rnacentral:rRNA from 1 species